CAGUAGCCACGGGAAUACAGAGGGUGCGAGCGUUAAUCGAAUUUACUGGGCGUAAAGCGUGCGUAGGCGGCUUUUUAAGUCGGAUGUGAAAUCCCUGAGCUUAACUUAGGAAUUGCAUUCGAUACUGGGAAGCUAGAGUAUGGGAGAGGAUGGUAGAAUUCCAGGUGUAGCGGUGAAAUGCGUAGAGAUCUGGAGGAAUACCGAUGGCGAAGGCAGCCAUCUGGCCUAAUACUGACGCUGAGGUACGAAAGCAUGGGGAGCAAACAGGAUUAGAUACCCCUGUAGUCCCUGUCUCUUAUAC
rnacentral:rRNA from 1 species